GCCAAACAGCUAGCUCAACCACCUAAUAACUAAACAAUGUAUAUAAAACAAAAUAAGCCUAACACCAAAAAUUAAACCAUUCUUUUACCUUAGUAUGGGAGACAGAAAAGGUCACACCUGGAGCAAUAGAAAUAGUACCGCAAGGGAAAGCUGAAAGAGAAAUGAAACAACUUAUAUAAGCACAAAAAAGCAAAGAUUAAAUCUUGUACCUUUCGCAUCAUGAUUUAGCCAGUAUACCCAAGCAAAGAGACCUUUAGUUUGAAACCCCGAAACCAGAUGAGCUACCCCGAGACAGCCUAUUAAGGGCCAACCCGUCUCUGUGGCAAAAGAGUGGGAAGAGCUCCGGGUAGAGGUGACAAAUCUACCGAACCUGGUGAUAGCUGGUUGCCUAAGAAGUGAAUAGAAGUUCAGCCUCGUGCUCCCCUAAUCGAAAGAUAUAAAAAGAUGCUAAAGGGCAAUACACGAGAGUUAGUUGAAGGGGGUACAGCCCCUUUAACAAAGGACACAACCUUUCCAGGAGGAUAAAGAUCAUAAUACAUAAAACAUCCUGUUCUAGUGGGCCUAAAAGCAGCCACCUAAACAGAAGGCGUUAAAGCUCAGACAGAAGCAAGUUUAUUAUUCCGACAAGAAAUCUUACUCCCCUAAGUUCUAUUAGGCCAGCCCAUGCUCGCAUGGGAGAGACUAUGCUAAAAUGAGUAACAAGAAGGCCUGCCCUUCUCCGAGCACAGCUGUAAGCCAAAUCGGACCAACCAUUGGCAAUUAACGAACUCAACCCAAGAGAGCAAUGUGGAUUAUAAUAAGACCGAGAAGAACCCACAGCUAAUUCAUCGUUACCCCCACACUGGCGUGCUAUUAAAGGAAAGACUAAAAGAAGGGGAAGGAACUCGGCAAACACAAGCCUCGCCUGUUUACCAAAAACAUCGCCUCCUGCAACGCAACCAAGUAUAGGAGGUCCAGCCUGCCCAGUGACGAUAAGUUUAACGGCCGCGGUAUUUUGACCGUGCAAAGGUAGCGUAAUCACUUGUCUCUUAAAUGGAGACCUGUAUGAAUGGCCAAACGAGGGCUUAACUGUCUCCCCCUUCCAGUCAGUGAAAUUGAUCUACCCGUGCAGAAGCGGG
rnacentral:rRNA from 1 species